UCGCUGAACAGUCCCCGGUGGCAACAGGAAGAAAAUAAGCUGCUGAUGCUGAUGAGAGUCCAUCCUGCAGCCAUGAAGCCCGGAGAUGAAAUGAGGCAACUGCGUCUGCUGCAUCGGUGCUUCUUAAAGUGACACACCUGAGUGUGGAAGGAAGCUGACUGAGUCUCCUGCUCCACGUAAGAUGGAUGGACAAACAUGGAGUCUUCUGAUGGAAGUUCUGGCUGAGUGAACGCCGACCUGUUUUCAUCCUGAGAGACAGUACAGAUUAUAAACCACAAAUAAAAAAGAGGCCGGAUCCUUCAAAGACACGGCCCAUGAACUGAUCCUUGGGAGGACAUGAAGGCCAAGGUUGAAUUUGUGCUUUCUCCCCAAAUGAGACAGUCUAGCCUCACAGGGACUAAAUCUAAUGGUGCGCUUGUGCAAUCCCAGUCAACUUGUGAGGUCAAAUAUUUCACACUUUAUGACCAGGACAUUGCUCUCAAACUACCUGACAAACUGCAAACACCACUGGGAAACUGGGGCAAGUUCCAGGAUACCUUCAUAUGAGUUAACAGUACGAGUUGUGACUUUUCAUUGAACUAACUGUAAAUAUAUCCAUAUAACUUUCAUUUUCCUUUAAUACCUGCUGAUCCAUAACAUAUCAAGGCUCCUAACAAGAACAAACUGUGGAAAAGUCCUUUUUAGUGUAUUAUGCAUGAUAUUCUUUGGGCUAAACUAUGGCAAAAACAUAUCGUGAUCAAGUCACAAU